UCACUUUUUUCAAACCCUAGAUCCAUUUUUCUCUAAUCUGGUUCUUCCUUCUUCACCGAUCGAGCAUAGAUAUCAUCUAUCGAUCAUCGCCGCAUUUUCUUCUUAAAUCACCAUAUACCAGGUUCGUUCUUGCAAAUGAGCGAUUUGUCAGAAAAUUCGAAAUUCUAGUGAUUCAGUAACCAGGUUUGCGAUUUUGUGUAGUAUUUUGGUUUUUAUAAUAUUCAUUUUAUGUAUGUUCUUCAGAUCUUCUACGUUCCAAAUAGACUGUUGACCAGCAUGUAAAAAUAUUUUGAAAAUUUUAUAAAAUUAGGCACAUCACUAGAAUAUGCCGUGAAAAAAAAAAGUUUUGUCAAUGAAUAUUUCUAAACGAAUGUAGCUUACUAUUCUUGGGUUGUUUUUUUACAGAGAUAGAAGUUGAGUUUUGUUUAUUUAUCUUGGUUUUUUUUUCUGUUCAUGCUCUUUCUAUUUUUGGGGACUGAUUUUGCUAUUCAAUUUUUCAAGUUGCCAUGGCUUAAUGCUCAUCUUACAAAGAUCUGGCCUUUUGUUAACGAGGUUAGUUGAUUGUAUUAAAUGGUUAUUUGAUGCUUUAGUUGAGUGGUGUAUGUCUGUAUUUUAGGUUUUUGAUAUUUAUUAUUGUAAAUAUUAGUAGAUAUUUAUUUAUUGUAAAGAUAUGUCCACAUAAUUUGCAGGUAUGUAAUCUAUAGUAGAUAUUUAUUUAUUGUAAAUGUUUAAUGUCAAUUUUUGAUGAAUUUUCUUUUUUUUUAUAUAUGUAGAUCGAACAUGUUAUAGGUGUAUUUAAUCAAUAAUCUAUAAAAAGAUUUAAGGUAAAACUACAUGAUUAAGGUUAAAUACUGUUUCUUUAUGUUGUUCGAUCUUCAAUUUAUUCAAGAAAAGUUAUUUUUUUGAUGUUGAAAACUGUUUUGGCAGUUGCUAAUGUUUGUUGUUCUUCUUAUUUUUUUGUAGAUCAUUAGACAUAUAGUUAAGGCAUGUAAACAAUACUAGAUUGUUUGUUUUUCAUCAUGAUUCAUAUGAAAUGAUGUUUUGUUAAAAAAAUUAUUUACUGUUUUUGAAAUUCGGACUCGGAAUGUUCGUCUACCAAAACAGGUUAGUUAAAUGUUGUUGGUAUUGUUUGUUUUUUGAUAUGUAUACUCUUUCUUAUUUCUUAUAAAAUUUUCUGUUUAGGCAUAAUUUUGAAACUUUAUGUCAUUAUCUUUUGAAGUUCAUAUUGUUAGUUUUGUCAAUUAUGAGUUUUUCUAUUUAGGUUUAAAGAUACCUUUAGUUUCUUUCUAAAGAUAUUUUUGUUUCCAAAAACACAUUACUGUUUUUAAGGUUAAUUUCUAUUCUCAAUUAUAACUCGGUUUCUGUAAUUAGACAUUGUUUCUAUAAAUAAGUUACCGUUAUAUUUUUUUAAAAAAUUCUUUUAUUCCUUUGCAGUUAUGGAUCCUAAAACAACGCUCCAAACGUUUUUAAAGUUGAUUGAUGGCUAUGAUUCUAUAUAAAAAUCGGACUCCGAUAAUUCCUCAAACAAAAGAGGUUAGUUAAAUUUUAUAGUUUUUUUUUAUCUUUUUUAAGUUUGUAAUAUUUAAUUUUCUCCUUUCUGUGCAGUAAUUUUUUUUUAAAUUACUAAUAUAUGUUCUGAAUGAUUUAUGGUUUUUAUUUUCCCAUGGUUAACCAUCAAUCUUUUGUGAAAUUCGUACUCGGAAUGUUCGUCUACCAAAACAGGUUAGUUAAAUGUUGUUGGUAUUGUUUGUUUUUUGAUGUAUAGUCUUUCUUAUUUCUUAUUAAAUUUUGUGUCACUAUUUUUUUUAAAUUAGUAAUAUAUGUUC
rnacentral:lncRNA from 1 species